GCGGAUGUAGCUCAGUUGGUUAGAGCGCCGGCCUGUCACGCCGGAGGUCGCGGGUUCGAGUCCCGUCAUUCGCGCCA
rnacentral:tRNA from 16 species